CCUACGGGAGGCUGCAGUGAGGAAUAUUGGUCAAUGGGCGAGAGCCUGAACCAGCCAAGUCGCGUGAGGGAGUACUGCCCUAUGGGUUGUAAACCUCUUUUGUCGGGGAGCAAAAGCCGGACGUGUCCGGCUGUGAGAGUACCCGAAGAAAAAGCAUCGGCUAACUCCGUUCCAGCAGCCGCGGUCAUACGGAGGAUGCGAGCGUUAUCCGGAUUUAUUGGGUUUAAAGGGUGCGCAGGCGGGAUUUUAAGUCAGGCGGUAAAUCCGUGGGCCUAACCCCAUCCCAGCCUUGGAAACUGGGGAUCUAGAGUGUGCGAGAGGUAUGCGGAAUGCGUGGUGUAGCGGUGAAAUGCGUAGAUAUCACGCAGAACCCCGAUGGCGAAGGCAGCAUGCUGGUGCACAACUGACGCUCAGGCACGAAAGCGUGGGUAUCGAACAGGAUUAGAUACCCUUGUAGUC
rnacentral:rRNA from 1 species